rnacentral:rRNA from 1 species
AUGGGGCAUGGGCUUCAGGAGUAUGCAAGCAGAAAUGGAGGGAGGAAAAUGCGUAUUGAUUUUACAGAGGGGAAAGUGAGACCUACAGACCCAGUCCAAGCAGCAAAGCUUUCUUCUGAGUGUGGUAUUCACAUCAGGAGCAGAAUGCAUGUUGCUACGCACUGGAAUGGCUAUGACAAAAUCCCACUCAAACAUGUUAUUCCCCAUGCUAUUAAAGGUAUUGCGCUUAACUUUGAGAUGGAUAAGGAUGACAAGGUUGGGAAUGAUGUAUGCACAAAAGUAAUCCAGAAGGGUGUUUGACAACAACGCUACAGGCUAAAGAAGAAAUACUCCAAUGGUUAUACUUCUCAAGAAGCAUUAUCCAAAAAGCCAGCGAAUAUUACUCAUGAGAAUUGGACCAGCCUUGUCAAUAAAUGGUCUGAUGAAAGAAACAAGGAAAUAUGUCAAAUGAAUAAGGAAAACCGAGAAGCUGUGAAGCAUCACCAAAAGAUUGGAUCUAUGUCUUAUGUUGCCUAUUUCAGCAAACUUAAAAAAGACAAGUACAAUAAUCAGGACCCAAGUCCCACUGAAUUUUUCAAAGACACCCAUACAAAUAGCAAGACUGGUAGCAUGUGCGAGCUAGCACUUCUAGCUCAUAAUGCCAUGGAAAAGGAAAGGAAAACAUAAUCAGAAGGUGAGCAGCCAGUAUACGAUACAGCGACUGUGGCUGAAGUUCUAAAGGAAGAAAGCGCCCAUAGCACCCUCCUUUCAAGCAUGGGGUAUGCAUCAAGAUCCGGGAGGUCUGGAAGCUCUACUUCAUCAGCCCAGAUCAAAGUUUUAGAAGAAAGAAUUGAACAAAAGGAUAGAGAGGCAAGAGAUGCAAAUGAUAGGCAUCAAGAGGAGUUAGCCGCAAGACUUGAAGCACAAGAGAGAGCAUUUGAAGAGAUACAAAAGAAGAAGCAAGAAGAAUUGGAAGCUCUAAAGAAGAUCCAGGAAGAGAAGAAUAAAGCCUGGACAAAGAAGCAAAAGGAGACGGAUAAUCUGCUUGAUUUUCUCUUGAGGGCUCAAGCAACUCAGCAGUCCCAGUCCAAACCAGAUGGUUCAUGA